GCUCUGGAUUCUCCAGGCCGCUGGCGCCCAUGAGGCGAUCGGCUCGCCCGCUGCGGAGCCCCCCAGCCUGCCUGGUUAGUUUGUCCAGGUUGGCAGAACGUGCUCGGAUCGAUGAUGACUCCCUCAUAUGCAUUCCUUGGAAAAUCUGAACAAAAUGAGUGAGAACUCACUACCGUCGUUCUCAUCGAAACUGAGGUCCGGCACGUUGUCUUCCCCAGGCAUGGCAGGAGUGAGGGACCGCUUCCCCUUGAGCGCACUGGGACGGGCACGGGCACCACGCCGGGCGUCCGCAUUUGGGAGCCGUGGCAUCUGGGGGUCCUUCCUCUCACCGCGUGAGGUGGGAUCUCCGAGCAAAGCUUGCCGUCGCCCAAGAAGAGAAGACCUUCCUGUCGUUUGUGGAGCGGAGACGCGAGGGAAUCCCGCAAGAAGCGUGGCUUCGGGUGCGCCCCGUGCCCGUGGCUCGCUGAGGCUGGUGGGAUCUCCGAGCAAAGCUUGCCGUCGCCCAAGAAGAGAAGACCUUCCUGUCGUUUGUGGAGCGGAGACGCGAGGGAAUCCCGCAAGAAGCGUGGCUUCGGGUGCGCCCCGUGCCCGUGGCUCGCUGAGGCUGGUGGAAGUGCCGUGCAAAGCUCGCUGCCGCCCACCGACAGAAGAAGACCCUUCGUGUCCCGUGACGAGCGCAGGUGCGAGGCAGUCGCGGCGGAAGUGUGGCCCGGGAUGCGCACCACGCCCUCGGACGGCCCAGGACGGUGGGAUCUCCGAGCAAAGCUUGCCGUCGCCCAAGAAGAGAAGACCUUCCUGUCGUUUGUGGAGCGGAGACGCGAGGGAAUCCCGCAAGAAGCGUGGCUUCGGGUGCGCCCCGUGCCCGUGGGUCGCUGAGGCUGGGAAGGCUCGGCUGCGGUAGAUGACCUGUGCGGUAGACGGCGUCGCGCCCCCGGGAGGUUCGGCCCCCAGUGUUUGUUGUCCUAGCGCCUUGAAGAGACCCACAGGCCCGCGACUGGCCACCGGCCCCGUCUGCUCCGGAUUGCUGAGGCGGACAAUCUCUUUGACCCUGCGCCCCCUCGGGUCCGGCGCUUGCCAGGAGGAGGCAGCGUUUGUGCUCUGUGAGGUCGUCUGUGGUGUUCUGGGGCCGAAGGAGGGGGUCAUAGGUCGAGUGCGACGCGGUCGACUUAGGCAAAGUCAUAAUGCCUUGACGGCUGUCGUCCGGGAGGCUCCCUGCCCGCCUGGCGCGCGAGGUGUUGGAGGCUACACCUUGGGGGACUUGCUGUGCAGGCGUGAGGGGGCUUCCCCUUUGGAGCAGGGAGCCGCGGGGUUGAACGUUUCCUCGAAGGCCAGCGCCCCGCAACCCGCAGGCGGUGGAAAUGCCGCGUCGCUGCGUGGGAAUUGGCUGUGGUCUGAGACGGGUCUUGCCCCGGGUCUCGGUGGCUGUGACCAGCCGUUGCAGCGGGGUUCCCUGCUGGCCCGCCCAGGGCGUCUUGGCUUAGAUAGCCCAGACCGGAGUGCGGCCUGAAGGCGUCGGGCCCCUGGAGGUUCAGACGGGCUGCUUCUGUUGCGCCGCCCGUGGGCGAGUGGUGCCGGCUCUCGUGUCAGCCCUGUUGUCCUGGCGGUAGCCAGGUAGCAUUACCAUCAAGUGCCGUUCCCCCCGGCCCAGCUCGCGGGGACACGCUGGCCACGUUGACCUCACAUCCACGGUCAGCGUGAGGGUGUAGGUGGAUGGUCCGUGUCCUUUGCUCAGAAGGAGUGGCGCUCAGAGAGGGAGUCCGGGGCCGAUUGCAGCAGCCUCUAGCGGUGCGAGUUGGCGUCCUUCCUUGGGAAGUCACCGGGCUUCCGCGUGGGGUGGCAGGGCACGAGGUCAGGCAUCUGUGAGGACGGCGUGCUUUCCCGGGUGCUGAGGCCACCGCACACGGAAGCCCGCAGGCACGCACGCGCGCGCGCGCGCACACACACACACACACACACACACGUGCACAGGCCUGCGCAUCUGCCUACACUCGGGAUAUCACACGCGCCUUCGGUCAUCCCGAAGGGAUAGAGGUACAGGGCAAGCAGAUGCAAGGGUGCCGCGGGGGGAACUGUGGCACGGAUCCUGUCUUCUGACCAGCUGGGCACGUUUCUGAAGCAUGCGUGUGCUUUCUCUACACUCCUCA